GACGAACGCUGGCGGCGUGCCUAAUACAUGCAAGUAGAACGCUGAAGAGAGGAGCUUGCUCUUCUUGGAUGAGUUGCGAACGGGUGAGUAACGCGUAGGUAACCUGCCUUGUAGCGGGGGAUAACUAUUGGAAACGAUAGCUAAUACCGCAUAACAAUGGAUGACACAUGUCAUUUAUUUGAAGGGGGCAAUUGCUCCACUACAAGAUGGACCUGCGUUGUAUUAGCUAGUAGGUGAGGUAAUGGCUCACCUAGGCGACGAUACAUAGCCGACCUGAGUGGGUGAUCGGCCACACUGGGACUGAGACACGGCCCAGACUCCUACGGGAGGCAGCAGUAGGGAAUCUUCGGCAAUGGGGGCAACCCUGACCGAGCAACGCCGCGUGAGUGAAGAAGGUUUUCGGAUCGUAAAGCUCUGUUGUAAGUCAAGAACGGGUGUGAGAGUGGAAAGUUCACACUGUGACGGUAGCUUACCAGAAAGGGACGGCUAACUACGUG
rnacentral:rRNA from 1 species